UUUCCCUAAGGUUGCCUUAACCUCACGCUUCUCCAUAACAUGUCAAGCGUGUGCAAGCCUACAGCGGUAAUUCAGAGAACCAUGGACCAAGGACCACGUUUAUUAUUUUUCUGAAGCUGCUAAAUCAGUUCCCUGGGGACAGUCCACAGGUUCUGCCAGGAGCCAUUCGAGCCCGACUAUCGCCGGAUGAGAAACCCUGUGGUUUAUAUGGACAGGUGUGAACCAAACCUUUGCUAGGACCACAAAGCUCAAAUUCCCACCAGAGACGGCAGGGAACAAUGGCUGUUUCGCAGCACAACCCUGCAGGCCAAACUGCAGCGGAAUAAUAAAGAAAUAAGAGGAUAGAGAUGUGGAUAAUUGUUGGCACUUCCAGGAAUAAGUUCACAGCUAAACAACCCCCAUAAUUAGAGAACACAGCCAAGCCAUCUGAAGGGGAUGGAACUGUAUCAGCAAAUCAGCUAAGAAUUUCACAGAGCUUAUAGGUGUUUACUUGGAGGUCGGUUUAUGUAAUUAAUGGAGCAUUCCUUCCGUGUCAUUGACCUGCCAACUGAGGCAUCGCAGGAGACUGACUGUGCCACCAGGACAAUUGUAAAGGUUCCCCUCGCACAUACGUGCUAGUCGCUCCCGACUCUAGGGGCUCAUCUCCGUUUCAAAGCCGAAGAGCCAGCGCUGUCCGAAGACGUCUCUGUGGUCAUGUGGCUGGCAUGACUAAACACCAAAGGCACACAGAACGCUGUUACCUUCUCAUCAAAGGACCAUGAAAUCUGGCUUCCCAUUUGGAGAGAAAAGACACAUUCUGUGCUACAAAAUGCUGGCUCCAACCUUCAAAGCAAGCACGGCUGGACAUUUGCUUUUUUUUUUUUUUUUUACUAAAAUAGAAAAUAAAUCGUUUUAAGCACUGCCUUCUGCUGCAGCCCAGAUCCAGUCUCUCGAUUUGUCAUGAAAAAAACAAACAAACACAGAAGAAUCCCUCCUUCUGUUUGCAAGAAACAGCCUCUUUCCAGAUUAAUCCAGCUGUUCAGAUGAUAAGCGAAGAGCUAAGCUCCUUGGCCAGCUGCUCCUUCUUACCACCGUGCUCCUAUUCCUUUCUCCAUUGAUUCUGCCAUUACCGCAGCCUUUUCUGACCUGAAUCCAUGGGUCAGCCGGGGAUGAUGGGUGAUACAGUGCACCACAACUAGCAUUUAACCUCUAAACAUGCUUGCUGGCAAACUGGUCCAGAUAACAGAACAAAGCAGAGAGCAUCUACACCACCUUUCAAGGUGAAUGAAAACUAUUUUGCAGAGGAGAAAGGCAGAAACGGAGCAACAGGUGAAUCCACCUAGUGCAGUUUUGCAGAUACAACACCCAGGAGGAAAUGUUACUCGUGAACUUGGCAAAUUAUCUUUCUAUCGGUAGCAUUGUAAAACUGAAGGACCAACUUGUCCUCAGACAUGGUAUUUAGCAAAGAAUAUUUCUGGAUACCCAGAAGCUGGCAAUCUGCAAAUCAUGGCAUCAACAUUCAGAUUAAUCUCAAUUUCCAAGAAUGCUUCUGGCCCAUCCAUACUUCGACUGACCAUUCAUACAAAAUUAGAAUCCUGGAACACCACAGCCCAAGUCUUGACUUCAAAAUGUUCCCAUGGAUCUUCAAACCAUCUUAGAGGCCAACGAGUCAUCUCAACAAUUUGCUUUCUGAUCAUUGUUUGUUCUGUGAUUGGCAACACUCACUAUGAUAAUCAUUUGAUUAACUGACAGGUAGACCCAUGCACACCCCCAAAGCCAGUCUGGCAGAUUUUCUCCAAAUGCAUCAGAACAUUGCAAACGAGCUUGCAAUCCUCUAAAAUUGAUCAGAAUUUGGCACCACAACCAAAUUCUGAAUGUUUAGAAUAGGAGGUUGAACAAAUAAACUGGGCGACUUAAUUUGGCAUUGCUAUUAUCAUUUCAAACUACCAAAUCUAGGCAUUAUUUACUUACUAUGUUUUUAACCUGCUUUCCUUCUCAAAGCAGCCUGGAAAGCGACACAAGAAUAAAUGAUAUAAAUUUAAAUGUAUACGA